rnacentral:rRNA from 1 species
GACGUAGGGCGCGAGCGUUGUUCGGAAUUACUGGGCGUAAAGAGUGUGUAGGCGGUGCUCUAAGUCUGUUGUGAAAUCUCCCGGCUUAACCGGGAGGGUGCGGCGGAAACUGGAGUGCUUGAGGGUGGGAGAGGUAAGCGGAAUUCCUGGUGUAGCGGUGAAAUGCGUAGAUAUCAGGAGGAACACCUGUGGUGUAGACAGCUUACUGGACCACUUCUGACGCUGAGACACGAAAGCGUGGGUAGCAAACAGG